UAAAAAUCUGCAUUACAGCCCAGAACAUGGCUUGUCUUUCACAUCACUGUCACCACUGUUGAAACGCACCACCCACCACCUCACUGUGUUCACAUCCACUGUUUGUUCUUCAUGAACACUGAGCAAACUUUGAUGAAUGUCAAUGGGUACAAUAUUUUCUGCAUGGAGGAAUUCAGUUACUCACCUUUGCUUUAUAAGCACUUCCAUGUCAGACACCAUUCUGUCAGCCUGCUCCUCUGCUGCCAUCUGUGACACGGCAACAACAUGUAACAGAAUACUGGCAGGAAGGUUCCACCUCUACUGCCGUACCACCACCAUCUGCCUCUGGCAUCAUGGGCCAAUGUAAUAUAAAUAGGAGGCAUUACUUUUGUAGCAGACUUCACAAAUGAUUGCAUUUCAGUGCUUGAAAAUGCUGGACAGAAACAAACCUGAAGCCUAGCUCUGAACUAUAGAGAGAAAUUCUGACCAUUUCAAGACUAUCUUUUCUCUGAAUUUAUGUCACUGUUCUGCUUGUUCUCCUGACGUCAACCAGGGAAGAAUUAGGGAAGAUAUGGACAUCAUGAACUAGUUGCUAAACCAUCCAUAAAUGACUGAAGCAAAUACUGGCAAUGAUUUGCAGCUCCUGGAACAACUGAAUAACAUUGUUGAUAAAUUAUGGAACCUGACAAGAAAACAGAGGGAAAGAGUCCCCACAGAUGUUUAAGUGAGAGCUCCCGGACUGCCUGCAGACUGCCUGCGAACACUCUGCCCAGUGCUUUGACAGCUGUGCUCUCUCUGAAAGAUCCCAGGUGCAAUCUGCAUUCUGGCCACGCAAAGCUUGCAGGCAUAUUGGCUGCAUAUGCUGAAUAUGUGUUCAGAGAGUACUCAGAAGUUGAUGUUUGCUGUGAGGACAUCUUCCUUAAGAAAAUAAUGAGUUACAACUUGCGAAAAUCAAAGUGAAGAUUUAUAACACAUUCAGGCUUCAGGAUAAUUACUACCUGUCUCUGCAUACCAUUUGAUUAAGCAAGUCUUUCCAGGCUUAUCAUUAAAUAGAAUUCGUGCUUUAAUUAAUUCUAGUUUUUCUGAUUUGGUUACUCUUAGAGAUUCUAUAUGCAUGCUAAUUUUCCGUGGCUUUUUGAAGAAUCCAUUGUAAUCUAAAUUUGAUUCUAAAAAAAUAUCCAUUUAAACUUUGUUACUGGCA
rnacentral:lncRNA from 1 species